GAUGAACGCUGGCGGCGUGCCUAAUACAUGCAAGUCGAGCGAACAGACGAGGAGCUUGCUCCUCUGACGUUAGCGGCGGACGGGUGAGUAACACGUGGAUAACCUACCUAUAAGACUGGGAUAACUUCGGGAAACCGGAGCUAAUACCGGAUAAUAUAUUGAACCGCACGGUUCAAUAGUGAAAGACGGUUUUGCUGUCACUUAUAGAUGGAUCCGCGCCGCAUUAGCUAGUUGGUAAGGUAACGGCUUACCAAGGCAACGAUGCGUAGCCGACCUGAGAGGGUGAUCGGCCACACUGGAACUGAGACACGGUCCAGACUCCUACGGGAGGCAGCAGUAGGGAAUCUUCCGCAAUGGGCGAAAGCCUGACGGAGCAACGCCGCGUGAGUGAUGAAGGUCUUCGGAUCGUAAACCUCUGUUAUUAGGGAAGAACAAAUGUGUAAGUAACUAUGCACGUCUUGACGGUACCUAAUCAGAAAGCCACGGCUAACUACGUG
rnacentral:rRNA from 1 species